UGUGGCUCAGUUGGUAGAGUUCUUGCCUAGGAUGCAUGAAGCCCUGGGUUUGGUUCCUAGCA
rnacentral:tRNA from 1 species